GAUGAACGCUAGCGGCAGGCCUAACACAUGCAAGUCGAGGGGUAGAACACUUCGGUGUUUGAGACCGGCGCACGGGUGCGUAACGCGUAUGCAAUCUACCUUGUACAGGGGAAUAGCCCAGAGAAAUUUGGAUUAAUGCCCCAUAGUAUAUAACCUUCGCAUGUUGGUUAUAUUAAAGUUCCAACGGUACAAGAUGAGCAUGCGUCCCAUUAGUUAGUUGGUAAGGUAACGGCUUACCAAGACGAUGAUGGGUAGGGGUCCUGAGAGGGAGAUCCCCCACAGUGGUACGGAGACACGGACCAGACUCCUACGGGAGGCAGCAGUGAGGAAUAUUGGUCAAUGGGCGCAAGCCUGAACCAGCCAUGCCGCGUGCAGGAAGACGGUCCUAUGGAUUGUAAACUGCUUUUAUACAGGAAGAAACAACUCUACGUGUAGAGUCUUGACGGUACUGUAGGAAUAAGGAUCGGCUAACUCUGUGCCAGCCGCCGCCGUAAGAC
rnacentral:rRNA from 1 species